rnacentral:rRNA from 1 species
UCAUUAAGGGGCGAAGCCUGAUGCAGCGACGCCGCGUGAGGGAUGACGGCCUUCGGGUUGUAAACCUCUUUCAGUAGGGAAGAAGCGAAAGUGACGGUACCUGCAGAAGAAGCACCGGCUAACUACGUGCCAGCAGCCGCGGUAAUACGUAGGGUGCGAGCGUUAUCCGGAAUUAUUGGGCGUAAAGAGCUCGUAGGCGGUUUGUCGCGUCUGUCGUGAAAGUCCGGGGCUUAACCCCGGAUCUGCGGUGGGUACGGGCAGACUAGAGUGCAGUAGGGGAGACUGGAAUUCCUGGUGUAGCGGUGGAAUGCGCAGAUAUCAGGAGGAACACCGAUGGCGAAGGCAGGUCUCUGGGCUGUAACUGACGCUGAGGAGCGAAAGCAUGGGGAGCGAACAGGAUUAGAUACCCUGGUAGUCCAUGCCGUAAACGUUGGGCACUAGGUGUGGGGACCAUUCCACGGUUUCCGCGCCGCAGCUAACGCAUUAAGUGCCCCGCCUGGGGAGUACGGCCGCAAGGCUAAAACUCAAAGGAAUUGACGGA